rnacentral:rRNA from 1 species
UACAUGUGGGGCAAGCGUUGUUCGGAAUUACUGGGCAUAAAGCGUGCGCAGGCGGCUUGCCAAGUCAGAUGUGAAAGCCCCCGGGCUCAACCCGGGAACUGCGUUUGAAACUGGCAGGCUAGAGUUUGGCAGAGGGGGGUGGGAAUUCCACGUGUAGCAGUGAAAUGCGUAGAGAUGUGGAGGAACACCGAUGGCGAAGGCAGCCCCCUGGGCCAAAACUGACGCUCAGGCACGAAAGCGUGGGGAGCAAACAGG